rnacentral:lncRNA from 1 species
CUCUGUGACUGGCUUGCUUGAUGGUUAGGGUCUGAUCGCUGCCUGAGACACCAUAUCGGUACUCCUCAGAGUUGAUGCAGAGUGUUCAUAUGAGGAGAGACUUUCCCUUGUCUCCGUCAUCUGUGAUUUCACUUCCCUGACAGAAGACGAAGCUUCCAUCUCAGAUGUUUUCUUAAAUGAUGAAACAGCAUACGCCUCUGUUCUUGUCAGCUCAGGGAAAACAGAUCUGGGGACCUCUUCAUCUCUGCGUUGGGAAGCAUAGGUGGUAUAAUCCCCUCCUGUCACGUCCAACGUUGCAUAGUCAGAAGCUUCGCCCUUGUAGUUGGUGCACACAGCACGGUGAUCACAGGAUCUGGUUUGCCACUGAAAGGAAUCUUGAUGCUGACCACUUCACCUCGGAGAGCAUGAACUGCUCCCAUGCCUUCAAGAGUUUUAGGAUGGCAUCAACUGUUCCAAAAACAUUGCUGAGCUGGACUUUGUAUUUCCCAGCAUGAGUCUUACGUUGGACAUUCUUCAUGACAAGUGGGUAACCAGGAUGGAACUGCGGUGUUGCUUGCAGGAGAAGCUUACUACUGGUUUCUACUUCUCCAACCUCAUUGGUGGCUAUGCAGGCACUGUCUCCAGACUGUCUAUAUUCAACCCAGUAUCCAAGAAUUUCUUUACCACCAUCACAUUCAGGUUUCUCCCACUGUAGAGUGACACUAUCUUUGGAUAUUGAAAGAAUCUCAAGUUCUCCUGGUUGG